rnacentral:autocatalytically_spliced_intron from 1 species
AGGUGGAGCUCAUGAUUUGGGUGAAGUUUAACGGCUUCCCAUGCGAGUAAUCGCAUGGUAAAAUCUAACUAUAUCGGUGAACUCCGAUCCGCCAGUCGGCGGAGGACAACGCCGAGGGAAGUUGGGCUAGCCACGAAGUUCGUGGCGAAUUCUUGUUAAAUUCUGCUAGACAGCAGAACAUAUAAGUUGCCUUAACCCCGUAGAGACUAUACGUUGGCGCCAUCGAAAGAUGGAUGAAGACAUAGUCCGGCACUCUUGGCAACAAGAGA